rnacentral:rRNA from 1 species
UACGAAGGGGGCUAGCGUUACUCGGAUUGACUGGGCGUAAAGGGCUCGUAGGCGGUUUGUCGCGUCGGGAGUGAAAACCCAGGGCUUAACCCUGGGCUGGCUUUCGAUACGGGCAGACUAGAGGUAUGCAGGGGAGAACGGAAUUCCUGGUGUAGCGGUGAAAUGCGCAGAUAUCAGGAGGAACACCGGUGGCGAAGGCGGUUCUCUGGGCAUUACCUGACGCUGAGGAGCGAAAGUGUGGGGAGCGAACAGG